rnacentral:rRNA from 1 species
GAGACUCUGUGCGCGUGCAUAUCAAUAAGCGGAGGAAAAGAAACUAACAAGGAUUCCCCUAGUAACGGCGAGUGAAGCGGGAAGAGCUCAAAUUUGAAAUCUUAAAGGGUUUCCCUUUACGAAUUGUAGUUUAAAGAAGUGUUUUCUGUUGGAGUUUCGGUAAAAGUUCUUUGGAAUAGGACAUCAUAGAGGGUGAGAAUCCCGUAUUUGAUCGUUACUUUCCAGCUGUGUGAUACACUUUCAAAGAGUCGGAUUGUUUGGGAAUGCAGUCCAAGAUGGGUGGUAAAUUUCAUCUAAAGCUAAAUAUUGGCGAGAGACCGAUAGCGAACGAGUACCGUGAGGGAAAGAUGAAAAGAACUUUGAAAAGAGAGUUAAACAGUACGUGAAAUUGUCAAAAGGGAAGCGUUUGACACCAGUGUUGUUUAGUUGAAAAUCAAUUCAAUAAUUUUUGAUUUUAAGUAGUAUUGACUUCAUCAGCUUGCUGCUUUCUUCUCAGAAAUUAUUGAAUGCACUUUUCCAGUUAACAAGUCAGCAUCAAUUUCUUUUGUUGUAAAAGGGUAAGAGGAAGGUGGCUUGCGCUUCGGCUCAAGUGUUUAUAGCCUUUUAUCUCUGCAAUCGGAGAGAUUGAGGUCUGCAGCGUAGAUCCUUCGGGGUUAGAUACAUUGGUGCUAAGCUAUAGCCUUGUAUAGACAACUUGUUGACUAUGCUCAGUCAUGUAGCUUACUCGCUGAUGCUAUUUUACCUACGCUUAGGAUGUUGACAGCAGUAUAGACUGU